GCUUGUCUCAAAGAUUAAGCCAUGCAUGUCUAAGUAUAAGUGUGUAGUACAGCGAAACUGCAGAUGGCUCAUUAAAUCAGUUAUUGUUUAAGCGAUGUUUUCUAUUUAUUUUUAUUGGGGUCAAACUCAAUAGGGAUAGAUAUGUGUGGAUAACUGUGGUAAUUCUAGAGCUAAUACAUGUAAACCCAUACCCGACUAUGACGCAAGUUAUGGAAAGGUUGUCUUUAUUAGAAUUAAAACCAAUUUACUCAAAGGUGAAUCAGAAUAACGGUAUUAUCACAAAUCACACAGAUCGUCAUUCCACUCGAUGGAGAUCGAUUGAGUACUCUUCACGGAGUAUUUGAUCGUGACGACGUUUCGCUCAAACUUCUGCCCUAUCAACUUUGGAUGGUAGUAUAAAGGACUACCAUGGUAAUAACGGGUAACGGAGAAUUAGGGUUCGAUUCCGGAGAAGGAGCCUGAGAAACGGCUACUACUUCUAAGGAAGGCAGCAGGCGCGCAAAUUACCCAAUCCCGACACGGGGAGGUAGUGACAAUAAAUAACAAUACAGGUCUUGAAUAAAGACGUGUAAUUGGAAUGAGAGCAAUGUAAAUAUCUCAACGAGUAACAAUUGGAGGGCAAGUCUGGUGCCAGCAGCCGCGGUAAUUCCAGCUCCAAUAGCGUAUAUUAAAGUUGUUGCAGUUAAAGAGCUCGUAGUUGGAUCUUGGAGCAUUAAUAGGAGUCGGUCCCUCUUUAUCUUCAAAAAUAGAGAGGAUGUAACUGACUCCCGAUGCUCAUUUAUUUCCUUAGUCUAUCUUCGGAUAGGUUAAGGAUCGUUUACUUUGAAAAAAUUAGAGUGUUUAAAGCAGGCAAUAUCUUUUUGCCAUUGAAUAAUUCAGCAUGGGAUAAUAGAAUAAGACUCGUAUCUUUAAUUUCUAUUGGUUUCUAAAGAUACAGUAAUGAUUAAUAGGAACGGUCGGGGACAUUGAUAUUUCAUUGUCAGAGGUGAAAUUCGUAGAUUAAUGAAAGAUCAACAUAGGCGAAAGCAUUUGUCAAGGACGUUUCCAUUAAUCAAGAACGAAAGUUUGAGGAUCGAAGACGAUCAGAUACCGUCGUAGUUCAAACUAUAAACGAUGCCGGCCAAGAAUCGGGGAACGUUUACAAUUCUUGGAUGACUCCCUCGGCGCUCUGUGAGAAAUCAUAAGCGUUUG
rnacentral:rRNA from 1 species